CAUCUGUCUACAGAGCGAAAUGGUCACCACGUCGUGACAUUGAAGAAUACAAUAGCUACUUGUGCAAUUUGGUGUCACUUCCUUGAUUUGCUACACUGACCUUUGGUACAAAUGUCAACACAGUGAAAAAGAUUUUAUUUAUUUACUCAUGAGAAACACAGAGAGAGAGGCAGAGACACAGGCAGAGGGAGAAGCAGGCUCUCUGCGGGAAGCCGGAUGCAAGACUUGAUCCCAGGACCCCAGGAUCACAACCUGAGCCGAAGGCAGAUGCUCAACUACUGGACCACCCAGGCGCCGCCCCCCCCAUGAUUUCCUUUCUGAGUCCCUGAUUCUCUGAUAUUCCAACUAUAUAACUAGGUGCCCCCAAAUCAUCCCAAAUUCAACAAGUCAAAAAAUAACCUUCUCCCUAAAACCAUUUCCCAGGUCAUUUGACAUCAUUACCUUGCCCCUACUUGCUUAAGCUAGAAACCUGGAAUGGGUUAUCUUGAACAUUUCCCACAAGCCUUCAUCCAAAAUUCUAAAACCAGAAAGCUCCGAAAACCAAAACUGAUUCUGUAAGGUGGCAUCAGAACUCAUUUGGCAACAAAAUGUAACUUGAAAGGUCAUGAGGCUCUUUGUGGUCUUUAUUUACCUCACCUGGUGAGAUUAUUUUAAUAUUUGGAGGCAGAAAUAUCAAUGUAUUUGAUCAUGGAGUGCUGUCCCAUCCCCAGUUGGAAGAGUUAAUAUUAAGA